UACAGAGGUGGCAAGCGUUGUUCGGAAUUACUGGGCGUAAAGGGCGCGUAGGCGCCUUCUAAGUCAGACGUGAAAUCCCCCGGCUUAACCUGGGAACUGCGUCUGAUACUGGAAGGCUUGAGUGCGGGAGAGGGAUGUGGAAUUCCAGGUGUAGCGGUGAAAUGCGUAGAUAUCUGGAGGAACACCGGUGGCGAAGGCGGCAUCCUGGACCGACACUGACGCUGAGGCGCGAAAGCUAGGGUAGCAA
rnacentral:rRNA from 1 species